AGCGAACGCUGGCGGCAGGCCUAACACAUGCAAGUCGAACGGACCCUUCGGGGUUAGUGGCGGACGGGUGAGUAACACGUGGGAACGUGCCCUUUGGUUCGGAACAACUCAGGGAAACUUGAGCUAAUACCGAAUGUGCCCUUUGGGGGAAAGAUUUGUCGCCAUUGGAGCGGCCCGCGUCUGAUUAGCUAGUUGGUGGGGUAAUGGCCUACCAAGGCUACGAUCAGUAGCUGGUCUGAGAGGAUGAUCAGCCACAUUGGGACUGAGACACGGCCCAAACUCCUACGGGAGGCAGCAGUGGGGAAUCUUGCGCAAUGGGCGAAAGCCUGACGCAGCCAUGCCGCGUGAAUGAUGAAGGUCUUAGGAUUGUAAAAUUCUUUCACCGGGGACGAUAAUGACGGUACCCGGAGAAGAAGCCCCGGCUAACUUCGUGCCAGCCGCCGCAGUAAGAC
rnacentral:rRNA from 1 species